GUGCUCGCUUCGGCAGCAUAUAUACUAAAAUUGGAAGAAUACAGAGAAGAUGAGCAUGGCCCCUGUGCAA
ensembl:snRNA U6 U6 spliceosomal RNA